AUACGGAGGGUGCAAGCGUUACUCGGAAUCACUGGGCGUAAAGCGCGCGCAGGCGGUCUUUUAAGUUGGAUGUGAAAGCCUACGGCUCAACCGUAGAACUGCAUCCAAAACCAUUAGACUAGAGUGUGGGAGAGGAAGAUGGAAUUAGUUGUGUAGGGGUAAAAUCCGUAGAGAUAACUAGGAAUACCAAAAGCGAAGGCAAUCUUCUGGAACACUAUUGACGCUGAGGCGCGAAAGCGUGGGGAGCAAACAGGAUUAGAAACCCGAGUAGUCC
rnacentral:rRNA from 1 species